rnacentral:tRNA from 1 species
AGUAAGGUCAGCUAAAAAAGCUUUUGGGCCCAUACCCCAACCAUGAAGGUUCAAACCCCUCCUUUACUG